UUGGAGGGCAAGUCUGGUGCCAGCAGCCGCGGUAAUUCCAGCUCCAAUAGCGUAUAUUAAAGUUGUUGCAGUUAAAAAGCUCGUAGUUGAACCUUAGGCCCGUGCGGGUGGUCCGUCCUCAGGGCGAGUACUGCCUCGUUGCGGGUCUCACCUUCUGGCGAGCGUGGAUGCCAUUUAUUUGGUGUCUGCGGGAACCAGGACCUUUACCUUGAAAAAAUUAGAGUGCUCAAAGCGGGCUCUUGCGCUUGAAUACAUUAGCAUGGAAUAAUGAAAUAGGACGAUGGUUCUAUUUUGUUGGUUUCUGGGACCGUCGUAAUGAUUAAUAGGGAUAGUUGGGGGCAUUCGUAUUCAAUUGUCAGAGGUGAAAUUCUUGGAUUUAUUGAAGACGGACUACUGCGAAAGCAUUUGCCAAGGAUGUUUUCAUUAAUCAAGAACGAAAGUUGGGGGAUCGAAGACGAUCAGAUACCGUCGUAGUCUCAACCAUAAACUAUGCCGACUGGGAAUCGGACGAUGUUAUUUUUUGUGACUCGUUCGGCGCCUUACGGGAAAC
rnacentral:rRNA from 1 species